rnacentral:rRNA from 1 species
CAGUAGCCGCGGGAAUACAGAGGAUGCAAGCGUUAUCCGGAAUGAUUGGGCGUAAAGGGAGCGCAGGCGGUUUAGUAAGUCUGAAGUUAAAGGCAUUGGCUCAACCAAUGUAUGCUUUGGAAACUGUUAGACUUGAGUGCAGAAGGGGAGAGUGGAAUUCCAUGUGUAGCGGUGAAAUGCGUAGAUAUAUGGAGGAACACCAGUGGCGAAGGCGGCUCUCUGGUCUGUAACUGACGCUGAGGCUCGAAAGCGUGGGGCGCAAACAGGAUUAGAUACCCCAGUAGUCCCUGUCUCUUAUACC